rnacentral:rRNA from 1 species
AAUAAGCGGAGGAAAAGAAACUAACAAGGAUUCCCCUAGUAACUGCGAGUGAAGCGGGAAAAGCUCAAAUUUAAAAUCUGGCGGUUUCACCGUCCGAGUUGUAAUCUAGAGAAGUGUUAUCCACGCUGGACCGUGUACAAGUCUCCUGGAAUGGAGCGUCAUAGAGGGUGAGAAUCCCGUCUUUGACACGGACUACCAGUGUUUUGUGAUGCGCUCUCAAAGAGUCGAGUUGUUUGGGAAUGCAGCUCAAAAUGGGUGGUAAAUUCCAUCUAAAGCUAAAUAUUGGCGAGAGACCGAUAGCGAACAAGUACCGUGAGGGAAAGAUGAAAAGAACUUUGGAAAGAGAGUUAAACAGUACGUGAAAUUGCUGAAAGGGAAACGCUUGAAGUCAGUCGCGUUAGCUGGAAAUCAACCUUACUUUUGUUGGGUGUACUUUCUAGUUUACGGGUCAGCAUCAAUUUUGAUCAUUGGAUAAAGUCCUUUGGAAUGUGGCUUCUUCGGAAGUGUUAUAGCCUUUGGUCGCAUACAAUGAUUGGGAUUGAGGAACUCAGCACGCCGCAAGGCCGGGUUUUUACCACGUUCGUGCUUAGGAUGCUGGCAUAAUGGCUUUAAUCGACCCGUCUUGAAACACGGACCAAGGAGUCUAACAUGCCUGCGAGUGUUUGGGUGGAAAACCCGAGCGCGUAAUGAAAGUGAAAGUUGAGAUCCCUGUCGUGGGGAGCAUCGACGCCCGGACCAGACCUUUUGUGACGGAUCCGCGGUAGAGCAUGUAUGUUGGGACCCGAAAGAUGGUGAACUAUGCCUGAAUAGGGUGAAGCCAGAGGAAACUCUGGUGGAGGCUCGUAGCGAUUCUGACGUGCAAAUCGAUCGUCAAAUUUGGGUAUAGGG